GAUGAACGCUGGCGGUAUGCUUUACACAUGCAAGUCGUACGAGAGUUUUUAACUCUAGUGGCGGACGGGUGAGUAACACGUAAGAAUUUGCCUUUAGGAGGGGGAUAACAACUGGAAACGGUUGCUAAUACCCCAUAUGCUUUCGAGUGAAAUGGAUUUCCGCCUAAAGAGAAGCUUGCGGCUGAUUAGCUUGUUGGUGAGGUAAUGGCUCACCAAGGCGACGAUCAGUAUCUGGUUUGAGAGGACGAUCAGACACACUGGAACUGAGACACGGUCCAGACUCCUACGGGAGGCAGCAGUGGGGAAUUUUCCGCAAUGGGCGAAAGCCUGACGGAGCAAUACCGCGUGAGGGAUGAAAGCCUAUGGGUUGUAAACCUCUUUUUUCAGGGAGGAACAAAAUGACGUGUACCUGAAGAAUAAGCAUCGGCUAACUCCGUGCCAGCAGCCGCGGUAAGACGGGGGAUGCAAGUGUUAUCCGGAAUCACUGGGCGUAAAGCGUCUGUAGGUGGUUAAGUAAGUCAACUGUUAAAUCUUGAGGCUUAACCUCAAAAUCGCAGUCGAAACUGCUUGACUAGAGUAUAGUAGGGGUAAAGGGAAUUUCCAGUGGAGC
rnacentral:rRNA from 1 species